AGCAUGGAGACGUGGAAUUGUACGGCUAAUGCUGGAAAUAGUUGCUUCAGCGUUGCACCUACUGAAACUAGUGCUACCAUGACUUGGAAGAAAUUAUAUUUUCAGUUAAGAGCUAUCCUGCGAACACAACCGCCUGACCAAUCUGCCCUAAGCCAAUCCUCGGGAUGUCUGGGCUCAAACUUGUCCAGACAUCCACAUACUGGGGAAGUUUGUAUGUCGCAGCUGCCAUAUGCACCGCACAGCUUAAGGGACUGUGUCUCGAGUUUGGUGAUCCAGUAAAACGCAAACCAUUCCACAGCCCUGAUCUGUACUGCAGGACUGACCU